rnacentral:rRNA from 1 species
GACGAACGCUGGCGGCGUGCCUAAUACAUGCAAGUCGAACGAAGUGGCGAACGGGUGAGUAAUACGUGGGUACCCUGCCCUCCUUUUUGGGAUAAGCCUUGGAAACGGGGUCUAAUAUCGAAUAAAGGGGGAUGGGCUCGCGGCCUAUCAGCUUGUUGGUGGGGUGAUGGCCUACCAAGGCGGUGACGGGUAGCCGGCCUGAGAGGGUGACCGGCCACAUUGGGACGGAGAGACGGCCCAGACUCCGACGGGGGGCAGCAGUGGGGGAUAUGGCAGAAGUGGCGAAGGCCUGAUGCAGCGGAGCCGCGUGGGGGAUGAAAGCUUUCGGGUUGGAAACCUCUUACGCUAUCGAACGGGUAGGUAGAGAAGAAGCGCCGGCUAACUACGUGCCAGCAGCCGCGGUAAUUC